rnacentral:rRNA from 1 species
AGAGUUUGAUCUGGCUCAGGAUGAACGCUAGCUACAGGCUUAACACAUGCAGGUCGAGGGGCAGCAUUAUCGAAGCUUGCUUGAUAGAUGGCGACCGGCGCACGGGUGAGUAACGCGUAUCCAACCUUCCCUAUAGUAGAGAAUAGCCCGGCGAAAGUCGGAUUAAUGCUCUAUGUUGUAUUUAGAAGACAUCUGAAGAAUACCAAAGGUUUACCGCUAUAGGAUGGGAAUGCGUCUGAUUAGGUAGUAGGCGGGGUAACGGCCCACCUAGCCGACGAUCAGUAGGGGUUCUGAGAGGAAGGUCCCCCACAUUGGAACUGAGACACGGUCCAAACUCCUACGGGAGGCAGCAGUGAGGAAUAUUGGUCAAUGGACGAAAGUCUGAACCAGCCAAGUAGCCGUGCAGGAUGACGGCCCUAUGGGUUGUAAACUGCUUUUAUAUAGGGAUAAAGUCGGGGACGUGUCCCCGUUUGUAGGUACUAUAUGAAUAAGGACCGGCUAAUUCCGUGCCAGCAGCCGC